GCCGCCUUAGCUCAGAUGGCAGAGCAACGCACUCGUAAUGCGUAGGUCCGGGGUUCGAUUCCCCGAGGCGGCUCCA
rnacentral:tRNA from 1 species